AGACGCUACACAAGGUGACCAUAUCGACCUUGCGACUUUUCCGUUUCAAUGCGGUGGCAUUAGGAUUGUAUGCGACUGGCCGCUGAAUCUUUCUACCCGAUUUUGUUUUCAUUCCUUCCACGUGAAAGUCUUCCUGUAAAUCAUCCUCGGCACCUUCUGCAACAUCGAGAUCGUAAAAUGGUAUACGAUUAUCGUCUUCCCGACGAGACGAUCGAAUGCGUCCAUUCUUAGUCUUGGUUGAUGCAGACUUGGGCAAGCGAUUGAAUGAUACAGACAAAGAAGGAUCUUGCUCCGGUGGUACUGAAGUAGCGCCUGAAGAGGAAGAUGCAGGCAUAGUCAUACCGCCAUACGGUGUCUGUACAUGCUGCUGCAGUUGAUGGAAAUCAGCGCCAAAUGGUCCAACAUCGGAAAUUCCAGAACCCGAUGCGACAGGGGAAGCAUCAAAAUUCGAGCUGUCCGUUUCUCUAACUACACCUUGAGCCGAUACCUGAGGAAGGGAUGAAUCAGCACCAUUUUCAAAAUGGAAACCGGCAUAGUCAUUUACACCAUAGCUCUUUCCUUCGUCGAAAAAAUUCUUUUGAGACAUUGUAAAAAACGAGGACUAAUAAAUAUGAGUAAUUUGGAAAA